CUUGUGAAGUAAUUAAUGAAUUUAGAAGUUCAGGACCUUAGAGACUUGCUGGACCUGAUAAAUCAAUAAUCUUGAUAAAUUAAGUUACAGGAGUGUCUGACACAUUCAAACAGUACAAUUGUGCGUUUAGAUCAUGCUAGUGUUCUUGACUUGUCUCAGUGUGCUCAAUGAGUAGUGCUUCCUCUCCACAAAAAGUUAUCUCAUUUUGAUAAUGAUAAACAUCUUCUGCAGAAGGUGUUCGUUGCGUUCCAUGAAGAUCUGUAAUGCCACUUCCGUAACAGGAACAGUAACGCUACUUCCAUGGCAGGAGCAGUAAUGCCACGUACAUCAUCUACUAUGCUUUUCUUCAAAGUGUGGGAUUUGAAGUCCUUUUGGUUGAAGAUUUUGAGCAAAUGAAGAAUUCUACUCCACAUUGGAACUCUGGAAUCAGAGGGCAUCAGGAUUCCUCUGUUUUGGUAUAUAAACAUCCCAGUGUAUAUUAUUAGAGCCAAAAAUGAACUUAUUCCAGCAAUUAAAAAUAGUCCCCAGAAGCUACUGAGACCAAGCCUAUUUGAACGAACAGAGUUGCAGCGAUCUGGACAGGUACUCAGAUCACCAAACCAUUUCCCCCAUAUAUCCUUGAUUUUGUCUCCCUCUGUUACCUUCAAAAUUGCCCUGGAAAUAUCAGGUGCCAGAGGAGAACCUAUGGGGAAGGCAAAGCCAAGACCAUCGGUGUUAAAUUCUUGAAUAUUUGAAACGUUUUUCCAACGAAUGGCUUCCAAAGUUGAUGUAGGUUCAACAAGGGUAUACUUGGAGCAAUUCUGUGCAAGAAUGAGGUGUAUAGUAGUGGGUCCAUCAAAAGCAGCAGCUACACCUCCAUUUUUGCUACCUCUGGAAAGGAGUUGGCCACAUUCUUCAGCAGACUUAAAAGGCAUAAGCUUGGAUUCAUCAAAACCCAAGCUUUUCAAGGUUUCCUUAACAAAAGAUCCCUUCUGGUAGCCCACAAAAUCCCCCUUUUUAAUGAGCUCAUCUAUGGUAGUAACA
rnacentral:misc_RNA from 1 species